UCCGGUAUGGUGUAACGGCUAACAUUGCCGCCUUUCAUAUCAAGUAAGAUCGAUUCGCGAACGCGGCAGCUCGGGGUUCGAUUCCCCGUACCGGAA